rnacentral:rRNA from 1 species
CAGCCGCCGCGGGAACACGGAGGGAGCUAGCGUUGUUCGGAAUCACUGGGCGUAAAGCGCACGUAGGCGGCUAUUCAAGUCAGGGGUGAAAGCCCGGGGCUCAACCCCGGAACUGCCUUUGAAACUAGAUAGCUUGAAUCUUGGAGAGGCGGGUGGAAUUCCGAGUGUAGAGGUGAAGUUCGUAGAUAUUCGGAAGAACACCAGUGGCGAAGGCGACUCUCUGGUCUGUAACUGACGCUGAGGAGCGAAAGCGUGGGGAGCGAACAGGAUUAGAUACCCGUGUAGUCCCUGUCUCUUAUAA